rnacentral:rRNA from 1 species
UGAUCCUGCCGGACCCGACUGCUAUCGGAUUGAGAUUUAGCCAUGCGAGUCUAACGCCCUCUGAGUGCAGGGGGCGUGGCAUACGGCUCAGUAACACGUAGUCAACCUGCCCUAGAGAUGUGGACAACCCCGGGAAACUGGGUGUAAUUCACGAUAGGUCACCUCAUCUGGAAGGAGAGAUGGCUGAAAGGGAUUUUGCGAGCUUCUUUCGCAUCAUCUGCUCUAGGAUGGGACUGCGGCCGAUCAGGCUGUUGGCGGGGUAAUGGCCCACCAAACCUUUUACCGGUACGGGCUUUGAGAGAAGGGGCCCGGAGAUGGACACUGAGACAAGGGUCCAGGUCCUACGGGGCGCAGCAGGCGCGAAACCUUCGCAAUGCGCGAAAGCGUGACGAGGUUAGUCCGAGUGGCUUCCGCUGAGGAGGUCUUUUGUCGGCUGUAAAAAGGCCGGCGAAUAAGGGGAGGGCAAGUCUGGUGUCAGCCGCCGCGGUAAUACCAGCUCCUCGAGUGGUCGGGGCGAUUAUUGGGCCUAAAGCAUCCGUAGCUUGUUCCGUAGGUCUCCUGAUAAAUCCCAACUGCUCAACAGUUGGCCCGCAGGAGAUACCGCGGGACUAGGAGGCGGGAGAGGUGGACGGUACUCCACGUGUAGGGGUAAAAUCCUUUGAUCCGUGGAAGACCACCAGUGGCGAAGGCGGUCCACCAGAACGCGCUCGACGGUGAGGGAUGAAAGCUGGGGGAGCGAACCGGAUUAGAUACCCGGGUAGUCCCAGCCGUAAACGAUGCGAGCUAGAUGAUCCAGUCGCAAAUCGCGAUUGGAGUGUCGCAGGGAAGCCGUUAAGCUCGCCGCCUGGGGAGUACGGUCGCAAGGCUGAAACUUAAAGGAAUUGGCGGGGGAGCACCACAAGGGGUGAAGCCUGCGGUUCAAUUGGAGUCAACGCCAGGAAACUUACCAGGAGAGACAGCAGGUUGAGGGUCAGGCUGAAGACCUUACCUGACGAGCUGAGAGGAGGUGCAUGGCCGUCGCCAGCUCGUGCCGUGAGGCGUCCUGUUAAGCCAGGCAACGAGCGAGACCCUUACUGGUAAUUGCUAGCUGGCGUCGAAAGACGCUAGAGGCUAGUUACCGGGACUGCGGUUGCUAAAACCGAGGAAGGAAAGGGCCACGGCAGGUCAGUAUGCCCCGAAACUCCUGGGCCACACGCGGGCUGCAAUGGUAGGGACAAUGAGUUCCGACCUCGAAAGAGGAAGGCAAUCUUCAAACCCUACCUCAGUUGUGAUUGAGGAUUGAAACCCGUCCUCAUGAAUAUGGAAUCCCUAGUAACUGCGUGUCAUCACCGCGCGGUGAAUACGUCCCUGCUCCUUGCACACACCGCC